rnacentral:rRNA from 1 species
GCAUGACGACUGAGGUCCAAAGCAGCAAUGCGCCUGAGGAGGAGCCUGCGUCCGAUUAGCUAGUUGGUGGGGUAAGAGCUUACCAAGGCGAUGAUCGGUAGCUGGUCUGAGAGGAUGAUCAGCCACACUGGGACUGAGACACGGCCCAGACUCCUACGGGAGGCAGCAGUGGGGAAUAUUGGACAAUGGGCGCAAGCCUGAUCCAGCAAUGCCGCGUGUGUGAAGAAGGUCUUCGGAUUGUAAAGCACUUUCGGCGGGGACGAUGAUGACGGUACCCGCAGAAGAAGCCCCGGCUAACUUCGUGCCAGCAGCCGCGGUAAUACGAAGGGGGCUAGCGUUGCUCGGAAUGACUGGGCGUAAAGGGCGCGUAGGCGGUUUGUACAGUUGGGCGUGAAAUUCCUGGGCUUAACCUGGGGGCUGCGUUCAAUACGUGCGGACUUGAGUUCGGAAGAGGGUCGUGGAAUUCCCAGUGUAGAGGUGAAAUUCGUAGAUAUUGGGAAGAACACCGGUGGCGAAGGCGGCGA